CGUGACUGCUGUCAUCUCUAACACACGGAAGAACAUCCACAUAAACCCUGAAAUUGUUCAGUAUUCUCUCAAACAGCCGUUUGAGUCACCUCAAAUGUAGCAGAGGGACUUUAGGAGCCAGGUUGAAACGGUCCGAUGCACUUCACUUGCAAUGCAGAUCAUCAUUUCUGGACAGCUUUCUACUUACUGCUGUGGACAUGAAAGGUUCAGCAGACUUUUUGCUCUGAAUGAAUGGCUAUUAACAUGGUGUGAAGAACAAAAUUUGCUCUUUAUUAACAAUUGGAAUCUUUUCUAGGAUCGUCCUAGGCUUUCCCAUGCUGAUGGGCUGCACCACAGCAGUACUGGAGCUGAAUUCCUGUCGGACAACAUCUUCAGGAUGCUUUGACUAGGACACCUCCAAUGUGAAGCAGUGGACAG